GAAGCUUCUCUCAGCUAUGAAACUGCUGGUUCUGAUGUUGUGCUUCGUGGUAUUGUGCUCCUCCGUCCCUAUCUCUGAGGAGAAGAAACGAGUCAAACGCUCAGAUGAUAGUGAUGAGAUGAACCAGAACUACAUACAAUUUCAGUUUCAGCCAUAUCCUGUGCCCAUUCCAGUGCCAUUCCCACGGCCUUUUGUUUUCCCUUUUGUCAUCCCACCUGUCCCUUCACCAGUCAU